GACUACCCCAGAUUGUAGUGGAAAGCAUUUUGAGAGGAAAACCACUUUUUUGUUACUGUAAAAAAGCGACCAGCGGAAGCUCUUUUUAUAGUAUUACAAAAAAGGUUUUACCGAAAAAUCUUGAAACGAAAAGCUGGAAAUAGG
rnacentral:sRNA from 1 species